UGUAUACUAUACAACAAUCAUUUAGCAUAAUUAUCCGAGAGAACACAAAUUUGAAAGUUGAUGGACACUGAAAUGGAUAAUGGUCAUAACGUAAAGAAAAUUUCGCGGCAUUCCUUGUUUCUCAAACCUCUCAAAUUCUCCAGUCGAGAAUGCUGAAUAUCUUGUAGAACUUUUUCAGUUGAGAAUAUUUUGACGUACAAAUCGAUCAUCUGACUUUGGUAUAGGGGCGAAAGAUUAAUCGAAUCAUCUAGUGGCUGGUUCCCUCUGAAGUUUUUCUCAAGAUAGUUGGUGUACGUAAUGAAGCAGUUAUAUACGGCAAAGUGAACGACUGGAGGAGUUGUGGGACGGAACGUCUUCAAUCUAUCCUCAGACUGUCAAUGAGUAUGACGUCUUGCUUGCUUGAAUGAAGCGUAGACAUUGAAUGUGUGCUCCAAGUGGGCCAUUU
rnacentral:ncRNA from 1 species